rnacentral:rRNA from 1 species
GACGAACGCUGGCGGCGUGCUUAACACAUGCAAGUCGAACGGAAAGGCCCUGCUUUUGUGGGGUGCUCGAGUGGCGAACGGGUGAGUAACACGUGAGUAACCUGCCCUUGACUUUGGGAUAACUUCAGGAAACUGGGGCUAAUACCGGAUAGGAGCCCCUGCUGCAUGGUGGGGGUUGGAAAGUUUCGGCGGUUGGGGAUGGACUCGCGGCUUAUCAGCUUGUUGUGGGGGUAGUGGCUUACCAAGGCUUUGACGGGUAGCCGGCCUGAGAGGGUGACCGGCCACAUUGGGACUGGGAUACGGCCCAGACUCCUACGGGAGGCAGCAGUGGGGAAUAUUGCACAAUGGGCGGAAGCCUAAUGCAGCAACGCCGCGUGCGGGAUGACGGCCUUCGGGUUGUAAACCGCUUUCGCCUGUGACGAAGCGUGAGUGACGGUAAUGGGUAAAGAAGCACCGGCUAACUACGUG